rnacentral:rRNA from 1 species
GCUUGUCUCAAAGAUUAAGCCAUGCAUGUCUAAGAAUAAGCCCUAGAAUGGUGAAUCUGCGAAUGGCUCAUUAAAUCAGUUAUUGUUUAUUUGAUGGUACCUUACUACUUGGAUAACCGUAGUAAUUCUAGAGCUAAUACAUGCGUCAAGCCCCGACUUCGGAAGGGGUGCAUUUAUUAGAUCAAAACCAAACGGCUUCGGCCGUCUCAUUGGUGACUCUGAAUAACUUUGGGCUGAUCGUAUGGCCUUGUGCCGACGACGUUUCCUUCGAAGGUGUGCCCUAUCAACUGUCGACUGUGAUAUAGACGCUCACAGUGGUUUUGACGGGUAACGGGGAAUCAGGGUUCGAUUCCGGAGAGGGAGCCUUAAAAACGGCUACCACAUCCAAGGAAGGCAGCAGG